rnacentral:rRNA from 1 species
GAUCCUGGCUCAGGAUGAACGCUAGCUACAGGCUUAACACAUGCAAGUCGAGGGGCAGCGGGAUUGAAGCUUGCUUCAAUUGCCGGCGACCGGCGCACGGGUGAGUAACGCGUAUCCAACCUUCCGUACACUCAGGGAUAGCCUUUCGAAAGAAAGAUUAAUACCUGAUGGUAUGAUGAGAUUGCAUGAUAGCAUCAUUAAAGAAUUUAUCGGUGUACGAUGGGGAUCG